CCCCUUUUAAUCCCCAGACUGGAUAAUAUCUUUUUUUCUAUUUUCAUGUUCAGUAAUUCUUUCUUCUGCUUGCCCAAAUAUGCUGUUGAACCCAUCUGGUAAAUUAUUAAUGUAGUUCUGAUACUUCAGCUCCAGAUUUUCUUCAAUCCUGGAUAAACCAUUUAACAAAGAGCAAGAAUACAUCCUUCUUAUGAAGUAGGUUUUCCUAAACAGGCUCAAUAUGGUGAUGGCCAUCCUCCCACCUGAGGACAUAUUUUAGACAGGAUGCUGAUCACAAAGCUAUCUGAGUCAACCUCAGAGAAGUACAUUGGGAGGAGAAAAACAGCACAGGGAGGAAGCCAGUAGUGAACAACGGGGAGGAGAAGGAUGGUGGCUCGUCCCAAGGAGUCCUCAGAUGGGAUCAAUCAAUGAACUGCCCUUGUCCUCAAGUCUGACAUACAUUCUUCUCCCCCUACAUGAUCAAGAACCAGGCAAGGAUCAUGCCCUUCCCCUCAGAGCUGCCCUGAGAGCCUCCAACCUGGGCCUAAACUGGCCAAAUGAUAUGGGAAUAUGCAUUUAGUGAUCAGUCAAUCAAUGACCAGAGUUUUUGGCUCUUUGAUAGGGUGAUGCUGCCUUGUGACAAUAAGCAGUGUCAGAAGGAGGAUGUAGAGUCCCAUCAGUGAGGUCCCCCCAUCAGUGUCUGCAGAUGUGAAUGCUUCUGCCCAGCGAGCACUGUGAAUUACCUUCAACAUCAUUACAUCUUCCUUUGUAAUUUCACUAGACAUGGAUGUGUAAUGAAGACAAGUAAUGAGUAUCUCCCUUCAUGGCCUGUAGAACAUAUUCAAUUAAGCAUGGAGGACCUAGCUAAUCUUGUCAUGUGGGGGUUAUUAUUUAUACCAACUGUUUGAUUAUGGGCAAGACACAUGACCUCUUAAGUCUGUUUCCUCAUUUGUAAAACUGGGGGGCGGAAAGAGCUGGACCUUAGGGCUGUGGUAAGGCUAUUUCAAAGAGGUUGAUUAGAUUAAAUAUUAGCAGGGUCCUACACAGAGUCAGGGCUCAAGUAAUGUUUUCAACUAGUAUUAUUUUUAACACUGUUUUAUUAGCUGUAAAGUCAAGAAGAACCUGUUUAAAAUUUUGUUUUACCACUCCCAAGUUCUAUGACUUCCAUUGAUUGAUGCAUCUCAGGUCUAUGUAUGCACAAUAAUUCCUCUCCCUCAUGGGUUUGGAAGGGUCAAAGCAGAUGAAUGUGCCUGGCACACAGAAAUCACCUGGAAACAGUCAAGUAAUAUUAUUAUUACUAAUCAAUGUUGAGUGGCCUGGUAAAGGCCUGCCCUCCGUGACCCUCAAUAGUGAUGAAAAGAAGAAACAGAGAGAAGGGUCAUAGUGUGAGAGAAGACAUUCUAAAAGGAAAAUGAACAAGAUGUGGAAAUGGCUCCAUGUGAGAGAACAUAAAGUAAGUUCAAGGUUUCAAAUGCAAGAAACAAAAAAUGAUGCAACCACCUUCAGUGGGAGAGUUGGGAGGAUGUUGUGAUGACAGCACACACACACCACACACAGACCUCAGUUGCAUUUCCUUCCUCCCUAACCAGGCCCUCUCCCUAUAAUGCUUCUCAUGGUUUUCCCUCCAAUGGAUUUGCCUUUCAUUUACCCCACUCUUUCUCUUCUCCUUUUAGUGCAAGAAAAUGGCCCAGUCCUCAGUGUGGGGGCCAUUGUUGGCAUUGUGAUUGGGGUCCUGGUUGUGGUGGCUCUGGUGGCUGCCCUGGGAUGUUUCAUUUUCCUCGCAAGGAUUCGCAGGUACAAUGGUAUUUCCCAGAUGCUGCUCUUGUCUCAUAGACUGACCCCAGGUCAGGAAGGACACCCCGUCCUCUGAUUCUUGGCCUGACUUUCCACAGCCUCCCUACUUCCCCAUGGAGAUCCCCUCUCAUCCAUGUGGCUCCUUCCUCUCCAGAUGCUGACCUGGGGUGGCCUCCUUAACACCAUUCUCUUCUAUAAGUUAGCACAACUAAGACACGACCACCACCACAGUGUUGUCCUAGUUCCCUAAGCACAUCUACAGUUGUGUUGGCAGGUAUUUAGUCCUCAAUAAAUGGUACCUCUUGCUGUUUAUUUAAAUCCAGUUACCCUGAUGAAGGGGAUUCACAGCCUUAGGAUCUGAGGGUCAUUCUGGUCAAGGUCAUACAGCAGAGAGUGGAAAUCUGGAUAGGCCAGGUGGGGUCAAAUGACCCACAUGACAGAUGCAUUAAUGAUAGCCCCUGAUGUGUGAGACAGAAAAAACAAGCCAGGAUGGCAGGUCAUGGGCUAUCCUUUAUGCCUCUUGUCCAGGCAGAUGGAGAUAGAGGACAAGACCACUGUCACAUUUUAGCAUCUCCUGGCCUGAAGGCAGGUGGCCACAGCAAUGAGGAGAUCUCCUUGAGGUCUCCACAUCCUACUUAGAAAAAGGAACUUCCUUGUCCCAUGCUGUGGUACCAAAAUUGUGACCUCUCCCUGCACUUCUCACAAAUAAUCUUGACCUUUCCUAGCCCUGGUUGCCUGCAGAACAGCAGAGAAAACUGGUACAUAGAGUCAACACCGGGUAAGUGUCUGUUCAGCUCAUAAGUGGCUGGGAGCCAGUGGGCUUGCCUUGCAGUGUACACUCCAGCCACACACCCCCAGUCAGGCCUCUGACCCUUUCACUGGGGCUUCAGCACAGGGAGCCCCACCUGGCUACACUGAAUGACCUAUGGGUUCUGAGUCAUGGGUCACUUCGUGGUCCACACUAAACCAUAAAAUUGCCAAAGGGUCUCCUUGUGCAAUGCUCUUUCUCCACUGGUUCUUUGGAAGCUGGAGCCCCAUCCUCUCCUGGCUGGAUGGGCCUAAGCUUCCUCACACCCCUGGUGCUAACUCUUGUUUCUGCUCCCAGGAUAUGGUCCCUCCAGCAGCUCUCUCUCCCCGGCCUGCCUAUCUGACCGCAUGCCAGAGGUUCCCAUCUACCAGGAAUUAGUACACCCCGACACAGACAUUUACUGUGGGAUGGACCACAAAGCAGAUGUGGCUUCUUAGUGACUGCCAGGAACUUCUCCUUAAGGGCUGUGGAAAAGAGUCCAGCUAAGAUGCCAAACCUGAGAUGGAGUCAGAAGGUGGAGCCUGAGUCAGGGAACCAGCUUUGAGCCCUGAGGAUAUUCAAGAACCUGAGUCUAGGUUUGGGAUCCCUCCUGGAUUUCUGGAGACCCUGACAGGCUGCCCUGAGCCCUUGAUGGACUAGGAAAUGGGCUCCCAUUCCUGCAGGAAGUGGUGGGGGGCUAAGAGGGAAAGCGACUGGGGCUGUGACCCACCAUGGACCCCCAAGAAAUACGAAUAAAGAGCACCUUCCCAC
rnacentral:lncRNA from 1 species